rnacentral:rRNA from 1 species
CAGAACGAACGCUUGCAGCGUGGAUUAGGCAUGCAAGUCGAACGGGAAGCUUCGAUUCAAUCUUCGGAGAGAAUCGAGGUGGAGAGUGGCGAAAGGGUGAGUAACGCGUGAGCAAUCUACCUCUAAGUUCGGAAUAACCCCGCGAAAGUGGAGCUAUACGGAUGUGGUACCUCGUCGCAUGGCGAGGCUAUUAAAGGUGGGGAUCCUUCGGGACCUGCUGCUUGGAGAGGAGCUCGCGUCCCAUCAGCUUGUUGGUAGGGUAACGGCCUACCAAGGCAUACGGGUAGCCGGCCUGAGAGGGUGACCGGCCACACUGGGACUGAGACACUGCCCAGACUCCUACGGGAGGCUGCAGUCGAGGAUCAUUCGCAAUGCUGCGAAAGCGUGACGAUGCGACGCUGCGUGGAGGAUGACGGCCCUAGGGUUGUAAACUCCUGUCAUGAGGGAACAGCCGGCAAAGGGAUAAUACCCCUUCGCUCCGAUGGUACCUCAAGAGGAAGCCACGGCUAACUCNUGUGCCAGCAGCCUGCGGGUAAUUACGAGAGGUGGCGAGCGUUGUUCGGAUUUACUGGGCGUAAAGGGUGCGUAGGUGGUUUCGUAUGUCGGAUGUGAAAGCCCGGGGCUCAACCCCGGAACUGCAUUCGAAACUGCGGGACUAGAGUACAGGAUGGGAGAGCGGAAUUCUUGGUGUAGCGGUGACAUGCGUUGAGAUCAAGACGAACACCGGCGGCGAAGGCGGCUCUCUGGAAUGUCACUGACACUCAUGCACGAAAGCUGGGGUAGCAAACAGGAUUAGAUACCCUGGUAGUCCCAGCUGUAAACUGUGUGCACUUGGUGUUGGCGGUUAUUGACCCCGCCAGUGCCGGGAGUUUUACGCGUUAAGUGCACCGCCUGAGGAGUACGAUCGCAAGGUUAAAACUCAAAGUAAUUGACGGGGGCCCGCACAAGCGGAGGAGCAUGUGGCUUAAUUCGAUGCAACGCGAAGAACCUUACCUGGGUUUGACAUCGGAG